rnacentral:lncRNA from 1 species
UCGCACUUACCCUCUACAUUUACAACAUUUGAUUCUGGUUUCUUGACAAACUUCCUUUCUCAUAAAAAAAACUAUACAAAAUAAAAAGACAUAGAGGUGUGUGUAAUUAAUUCCCAUAAUCCUGUUUCAUUCACCAGAAUCACCUCAGGAUAUACAACAUGAUACCAGAUUGAAGAAAAGGAUAUGCCAAAAGGCAGUCUGCUAAAUGGCUGAUGAUAAGAACUAAGAAUUUAGAAAAAAGUGUCACAUUUGUGCAUGCCAGUGAAAGGAUCUACCCUAAACAUCUAAAGUGAGGUUCAAAUGAGCCAUGGACUUCAAGUGAGAUCAUUUCAUCAUUUAGUACUCUUCAUUUUCAAAUGCAUAUUCCUUUUUGUUUCCACAACCUGCAAGCAUCUUCAGCUUUUAAAGCUAGGAAAUCAAGAAUUGUGGUCUAAAAUUCAUAAAUGCUUAUCCAAUUCCAGGCAAUAUUGAGUACUUUCUAGCACAUCCAGUGUGUUCAAGGAAAAUAGCUGCUGUUCCAGGACUUCUAAAGCUUUAGCAUACAUGGGGAUUUUGGUAAUCACCAACUUUGCUAGAAUGCACCAGGCAAUAAUUUUAGAAUCUAAAAUUGAGUUUGUUUGUGUUUCUAGCAGUAAAAAAAAGGUUCAGUUUUGUUUUUGUUUUUAAAGUAUAAUAAGGAUGAAAGCCCAAGAGCUAAUAGGGUUAGGACUAUUUAAAGUUCUCAUAUAUGUGCCUUGAUGCCUUAGCUUUAAAUACAGAAUCAACAAGCAUCUCCUCCUGGAUCAUGCAAGCAAUUAACGCUAGAAAAUGUUCAUCAUCCCAAGGAAUUCUAGGCAUGAAAAUAGAGUUUCUCCAAUUGAAUGCAAAUAUGAUACAGUUAAGCAAUGAAAUUCACUCCACUAACAACAAC